CGCUGGCGGCGUGCCUAAUACAUGCAAGUCGAGCGGACCGAACGAGGGCUUGCUCUUGUUUGGUCAGCGGCGGACGGGUGAGUAACACGUGGGCAACCUGCCCGCAAGACCGGGAUAACUCCGGGAAACCGGAGCUAAUACCGGAUAACACCGAAGACCGCAUGGUCUUCGGUUGAAAGGCGGCCUUUGGGCUGUCACUUGCGGAUGGGCCCGCGGCGCAUUAGCUAGUUGGUGAGGUAACGGCUCACCAAGGCGACGAUGCGUAGCCGGCCUGAGAGGGUGACCGGCCACACUGGGACUGAGACACGGCCCAGACUCCUACGGGAGGCAGCAGUAGGGAAUCUUCCGCAAUGGGCGAAAGCCUGACGGAGCGACGCCGCGUGAGCGAAGAAGGCCUUCGGGUCGUAAAGCUCUGUUGUGAGGGACGAAGGAGCGCCGUUCGAAGAGGGCGGCGCGGUGACGGUACCUCACGAGGAAGCCCCGGCUAACUACGUGCCAGCAGCCGCGGUAAUACGUAGGGGGCGAGCGUUGUCCGGAAUUAUUGGGCGUAAAGCGCGCGCAGGCGGUUCCUUAAGUCUGAUGUGAAAGCCCACGGCUCAACCGUGGAGGGUCAUUGGAAACUGGGGGACUUGAGUGCAGGAGAGGAGAGCGGAAUUCCACGUGUAGCGGUGAAAUGCGUAGAGAUGUGGAGGAACACCAGUGGCGAAGGCGGCUCUCCUGGCCUGCAACUGACGCCUGAGGCGCGAAAGCGUGGGG
rnacentral:rRNA from 1 species